GGGGGAUUAGCUCAGUUGGCUAGAGCGCUUGCUUUGCACGCAAGAGGUCAUCGGUUCGACUCCGAUAUNNUCGA
rnacentral:tRNA from 1 species